AUUGAACGCUGGCGGCAGGCCUAACACAUGCAAGUCGAACGGUAACAGAAAGCAGCUUGCUGCUUUGCUGACGAGUGGCGGACGGGUGAGUAAUGUCUGGGAAACUGCCUGAUGGAGGGGGAUAACUACUGGAAACGGUAGCUAAUACCGCAUAACGUCGCAAGACCAAAGAGGGGGACCUUCGGGCCUCUUGCCAUCGGAUGUGCCCAGAUGGGAUUAGCUUGUUGGUGGGGUAACGGCUCACCAAGGCGACGAUCCCUAGCUGGUCUGAGAGGAUGACCAGCCACACUGGAACUGAGACACGGUCCAGACUCCUACGGGAGGCAGCAGUGGGGAAUAUUGCACAAUGGGCGCAAGCCUGAUGCAGCCAUGCCGCGUGUAUGAAGAAGGCCUUCGGGUUGUAAAGUACUUUCAGCGGGGAGGAAGGGAGUAAAGUUAAUACCUUUGCUCAUUGACGUUACCCGAAGAAGAAGCACCGGCUAACUCCGUG
rnacentral:rRNA from 1 species